rnacentral:rRNA from 1 species
UACGGAGGGCGCUAGCGUUGUUCGGAAUUACUGGGCGUAGAGCGCACGUAGGCGGCGAUUUAAGUCAGAGGUGAAAGCCCGGGGCUCAACCCCGGAAUAGCCUUUGAGACUGGAUUGCUUGAAUCUUGGAGAGGUGAGUGGAAUUCCGAGUGUAGAGGUGAAAGUCGUAGAUAUUCGGAAGAACACCAGUGGCGAAGGCGGCUCACUGGACAAGUAUUGACGCUCAUGCACGAAAGCGUGGGGAGCAAACAGG